rnacentral:rRNA from 1 species
AAAACCCCGCAAGGGGUUAGUAGAGUGGCGAACGGGUGAGUAACACGUGGGUGACCUACCUUCGAAUGGGGGAUAACGUCCCGAAAGGGACGCUAAUACCGCAUAACAUCCUGCUUUUGAACAAGUGGAGAUCAAAGCCGGGGAUCGCAAGACCUGGCGUUUGAAGAGGGGCCCGCGUCUGAUUAGCUAGUUGGUGAGGUAACGGCUCACCAAGGCGACGAUCAGUAUCCGGCCUGAGAGGGCGGACGGACACACUGGGACUGAGACACGGCCCAGACUCCUACGGGAGGCAGCAGUGGGGAAUUGUUCGCAAUGGGCGCAAGCCUGACGACGCAACACCGCGUGGAGGAUGAAGGUCUUCGGAUUGUAAACUCCUGUUGCCCGGGACGAAACGCUUCGACCUAACACGUCGAAGUUUGACGGUACCGGGUGAGGAAGCCCCGGCUAACUCUGUGCCAGCAGCCGCGGUAAUACAGAGGGGGCAAGCGUUGUUCGGAAUUACUGGGCGUAAAGGGCGCGUAGGCGGCCUUCUAAGUCGAACGUGAAAUCCCCGGGCUCAACCCGGGAACUGCGUCCGAUACUGGAAGGCUUGAAUCCGGGAGAGGGAUGCGGAAUUCCAGGUGUAGCGGUGAAAUGCGUAGAUAUCUGGAGGAACACCGGUGGCGAAGGCGGCAUCCUGGACCGGCAUUGACGCUGAGGCGCGAAAGCCAGGGGAGCAAACGGGAUUAGAUACCCCGGUAGUCCUGGCCCUAAACGAUGAAUGCUUGGUGUGGCGGGUAUCGAUCCCUGCCGUGCCGAAGCUAACGCAUUAAGCAUU